AGCGUGCACAAAAGGCAGGAGCGAUGCUGGCUAUCAGCUGGGGCUCACGGGAAGUAAAAAAAUCUGCGACUCUGUUUCCUUCGCGCGGCACAAAAAUUUCCUCUUUCCUUCAUCGUUCCCUCCGUCUUCGUCUUUGCUGUUCCCCAGCGCGGAGCGCUCGCUCGAUCUCAUGAUCCCGCAAAUAAUCCGAGUUCCCUUCUAGAGAUUUUGCUUCAGCACCAGUUCAAUUGGUUGGAUCUGGUGGAAUCGGAAGGAGAGAAGAAGUGGAGCAGGCGUCUCGCGGAGAACGGCGGCACCGGCAAGCAGGGAAUACUGAGGGUUGAAGAAUUCAACAUACUUGAGAAAGAAGAGGAAGUGUUCUCCAUGACUACAAUACGAAAGCAGUAUAUUUGUAUGUAUGCUCUGUGUAUAGGGUCUCUGUAUAUAUAGCACUUUGGCCAAGAUGAGCCAACGGUAAAUUUUUUUGUGACCGUUUGAAUGUGGACGUUGGCUGGAAGUAGGGAGUGGAUGUCAGAUUUCAACUGUCACCCGUUGCUACAGUAAAUGUAUAUUUAUUUAUUCUUUGAGCACCGGUGAA